CAAAAAAAUAUAUUUUUAAAUUAGUUGCCCUACGAUUUUUAGAUAGUGGUAUUCAGAACCACUAAUUAAGAAUAUUUUAAUAUGUGAGCCUUGUUUAGCCACGGUAUUUAGCACUGUUUGUUUUUUUUAUUUUAAUUUUGGAAUUGCAAACGCAAUGUUGACAUCUAAGUUGUUUAGAAUAAUAUGGUGAUUGUUUGUAAUCAACAAUGUAGAUAGAAAAGCUCUGGUGAAGGGACCCGAAAGUGUUAGAUUGAUUAACCAACUAGAUUACCUAUAACCUACAUAGUUUAAUAAUUUUCCCAUUAGUAUAUAAAUUUGGGGUUGAAUAUUUGUGAUUAGAGAAUAACCUCCCUGUCAAUACAGAUUCUAUAAUGUAAAUUAAUUACUUAUACCAGCGGUUCCCAAACUGUGUGGCGCGCCACCCGAAGGAGGCGCGAGUACUUAACAAUGGAGG